rnacentral:rRNA from 1 species
AGGACGAACGCUGGCGGCGUGCCUAAUACAUGCAAGUCGAGCGGACUUGAWGGAGUGCUUGCACUCCUGAGAGUUAGCGGCGGACGGGUGAGUAACACGUAGGCAACCUGCCCUCRAGACUGGGAUAACUACCGGAAACGGUAGCUAAUACCGGAUAAUUUAUUWCAYAGCAUUAUGKRAUAAUGAAAGACGGAGCAAUCUGUCACUUGGGGAUGGGCCUGCGGCGCAUUAGCUAGUUGGUGGGGUAAYGGCCCACCAAGGCGACGAUGCGUAGCCGACCUGAGAGGGUGAACGGCCACACUGGGACUGAGACACGGCCCAGACUCCUACGGGAGGCAGCAGUAGGGAAUCUUCCGCAAUGGGCGAAAGCCUGACGGAGCAACGCCGCGUGAGUGAUGAAGGUUUUCGGAUCGUAAAGCUCUGUUGCCAAGGAAGAACGUCUCAUAGAGUAACUGCU